AAUAUACUUCCUUCGUCCGAAAAUACUUGUCGAAUAAAUUGAUAAAAAUGGAUGUAUAUAGAACUAAAAUACGCCUAGAUACAUCCAUUUCUCCGACGAGUAUUUUCGGACGGAGGGAGUACUAC
rfam:Triticum aestivum genome assembly, contig: Triticum_aestivum_CS42_TGACv1_scaffold_542922_6DS